GUGUCAGCAGCCGCGGUAAAACGUAGGAGGCGAACGUUAUCCGGAUUUACUGGGCGUAAAGAGCGCGAAGGCGGUCUUGCAAGUCGGGCGUGAAAUCUCCCGGCUCAACUGGGAGGGGUCGUUCGAUACUGCAGGACUUGAGGACGGGAGAGGGGAGUGGAAUUCCCGGUGUAGCGGUGGAAUGCGCAGAGAUCGGGAGGAACACCAGUGGCGAAGGCGGCUCCCUGGCCCGGUCCUGACGCUCAAGCGCGAAAGCGUGGGGAGCGAACGGGAUUAGAUACCCCGGUAGUCCACGCCGUAAACGAUGGGUGCUAGGUGUUGGUGGUGUCGAUCCCAUCGGUGCCGAAGCUAACGCGAUAAGCACCCCGCCUGGGGACUACGGCCGCAAGGCUGAAACUUAAAUGAAUUGACGGGG
rnacentral:rRNA from 1 species